ensembl:snoRNA
UUACUUUUGUGGUUCAUAGUAUAACUGGGAUUCCACAUGAUUGUGUGAGACAUGUCUCAAACUUUGUGAUGUCAGCACAUUACCCAUCUGAUG